GGAGAGGUGGCCGAGCUGGCUGAAGGCGCUCGCCUGCUAAGUGAGUAAUUGGAGAUAAUCUGAUUCGAGGGUUCGAAUCCCUCCCUCUCCGCAA
rnacentral:tRNA from 1 species